rnacentral:rRNA from 1 species
GACGAACGCUGGCGGCGUGCUUAAUACAUGCAAGUCAACUGAACUUGAGGUAGCAAUACCACAAGAGAGGUGGCGCACGGGUGAGUAACACGUAGGUAAUCUGCCUUUAGGUCUGACAUAAUUCCGCGAAAGCGGGACUAAUAUCAGAUGAUGCAGCGGCUCGACAUCGAGACAGUUGUUAAACCUUCGGGGCCUAAAGAUGAGCCUGCGUCUGANAGGUAGUUGGCGGAGUAAAAGCCCACCAAGCCUGCGAUCAGUAGCUGGUCUGAGAGGAUGAUCAGCCACACUGGAACUGAGACACGGUCCAGACUCCUACGGGAGGCAGCAGUAAGGAAUAUUGCUCAAUGG